GAUUGAAUCUUGAUGAAGAUGAAGCAACGAGUCGCGACGGACGAGCAGCCCUUCAAAACGGGCUCCACCGAUGACUCCUCACCCAGCAUAGAAGAGCCCGCAGCAGCAUUGGUGGUACCUCCAGAUGGCGGGUGGGGUUGGGUGGUUAUGAUAGCCUCCUUCUGCUGCAACUUCAUGGUCGAUGGUGUUAUCUUGUCCGGUGGAGCCCUACUGCCUUCCAUUAGAGCAGAAUUCAAUGCUACUGAAAGUCAAGUGGCGCCCAUAGUGUCUCUGCUAGCCGGCUUCUAUCUUCUUCUGGGCCCCAUAGCGUCAGCCUUAGCGAACAAGUAUGGAUUCCGCAAGGUGUCAAUCUCCGGCAGUGUGAUUGCGUUCAUCGGAUUUGCCAUCUCUUACUAUGCCACUAGCCCUCUCUACCUUUACAUCACAUAUGGACUCAUUGGAGGUUUUGGAGUGUGCUUGAUAUUCAUGCCAGCAGUGUUGACUGUUGGGUUCUACUUCGAGAAAUGGCGCGCUCUGGCGACGGGCAUCGCUCUCUGUGGAUCUGGAGUCGGCACCUUCGUGAUGUCACCGAUCACCGCCAUACUUAUCAACAAAUUCGGAUGGAGGGUCACUAUUCUGUUUCAAGCUGGUAUGAUGCUGUCAUGCAUAAUUUUCGGAUCAACAUUCAGACCGAUAAAACCUAUCACCGUAGUAGUGGAAGAAGAAUCAAGCGGGGACAAGGAAGACGAACGUAGAGCCGAAGUUGAAAAAGUCAAAGACAUGAUGAAACUUCAAGGCAGACUGGAUGCAGGCAUCAGAAUGCCGCACGAUAUGAAGUUCGCUACCAGAGCUACUCCCCACACCUGGAUGGGAGUACCAAAUAACACUCGUUAUCCAACAGCUGAGGAGGUCUUCCGUGGAAGCACUACUGUCAUCAAUGCUCAACGACGAUCUUCUGCCACAGCAAGUGCAAUCAAAACUAACCUUGGAGCCAAACCUGCGUAUGCGACAGUCUCCGAGAAAGACGAACAAGACGACUCAAGCACCACCCCUGAGAAGCAAGCAAAGCAACCCUUGAUCGGAUCGGUUCUUAGGGUAAUAUCGCAACAAGACUACCACUCGCAGCGACGACAGUCGUCGACUGUUGACCUGGCUGCCAGGCCUCUGAACAGGGAGGAUAUUUUCUUCGGAGCAAGUUUAGCAAGGCUGCCGCAAUACACGUCUCGAACAUCUCUUGGCUACCACUUGGCAGUGACGCAUAUUCCUCCUCCCGAAGACCCCAAAGACAGCAAGGGCAGAUGCCGCAUGUGUCCCGUGGCCGUGCGAAGAGCUUUAGCCACUUUACUAGACUUCAGCCUAUUUAAAUCUUUGACCUUCAAUAUUCUGGCUAUCAGUGGAUUUUUCACAAUGCUUGGGUUCUUCGUGCCGUUCAUGUACGUGCAAAACAGAGCUUACAAAAGUGGGGCCAUGGAAAACGACUUGAUUGAUUGGCUAGUGGCCUCUAUAGGAAUAGCUAAUAUUAUUGGGCGUGUAUUGUGCGGAUUGGUUUCUUCGAUGCCGAAAGUAUCGCCGUUGUUGGUGACGAACAUCGCACUUACCGUGGGUGGUAUCAGCACCAUGAUGAGCAAUAUCAGCUUUUCUCCGUACUACCAGUUCUUAUACUGUGUCCUGUUCGGCUUUUCAGUUGCUUGCUUCGCCGCGCUCCGUUCGAUCGUGGUGGUGGAAUACCUCGGUCUGGAGCGGCUAACCAACUGUUAUGGCCUGUUCCUCCUCUUCCAAGGCAUCGGUGCUUUAAUCGGGGCUCCUAUUGCAGGUAUGCUAUACGACGCCACCGAAAGCUACGAUGUUUCAUUCUACGUGUCGGGAGGAUUCAUUCUAUUAUCAGCAGUGAUGUGCUACCCUAUCAGGAGGAUUAACAAUUGGGAGAAGAAUCGCGCGGAAGCUAAGACGAAGUCGUCACUAAGCACGAGCGACAGCCCUUUGAGUUUAGUCAAUAAAGUGUAAGGACAUUUGUUGCCGACUACACAUUGGUGCCAAAAAUAGUGAACCCAGUUUUCUAACUGCGGAAAGAGUGCGUAAAACGAAACGUACCUCUGAGCUGGCAUUGUAUCAUCUGCCGAAGGAUGAAUGUGCACUAAUGCGUGUGAUGAAUAACAAAUUAUGCCACUGCAUAGUUUGAAUACCAGCCUUAUUCCCGUAUUCAUGAAUGACCUUAUACGUAAGUGACUGCACUCACUGCCAACGUAAUGGUUUAACAUUGCCUUGGCACAUUCGUUCAUGAAUAUGGAAAUUCUAUAAUUGUUUUUGUAAGACUUGGAUUUUUUAAAUCUACAUUUAUUUACAAAAUGUACCUAGUUUUAUGUUAGAUUUAUCAGUCAGCGUGGAGAGAUCAAGUUACAUGUAAUUUUAAUUUUAUUGUAAACUAAUAUACACAGUCCUAAACAUGUACCUCGAAUACGAAAUUAUAAAUUAGAUACAUUCCCAAUAGUUAAGGAUUGGUCAAAUUGCGCUCUAGCUAAACGACUACUUAUUCUUUAUACAUAACUACUACUCUCUACCUAAGAAGUUUAUAUCUGAAGGAACAGAGGAAUUGGUCCUCACAUAUUAAAAUCGCUACCGCUACAUCUUAUGAUUUGGAUACGUCUCUUGCGUUGUUAUGAUAGACAUUCAUUUGACAGACAUUUCUCUAAAAUCUCUCUACAAUUUGACCAUUCCUUAAAUCUUUAACAAAACUGCAAGAGUUGAUUACUUUUGCAAUGAUUUGAUUAAGUCAGAUAAAUGCAUUUAAAAUAGGUUUAGAGGUUUAAAAGUACAAAGACUCGAAAUAUUAUUAUAGUUUCGUGUUUUCCCCCCAAUUAGGGCCCUUAGAGAGAUCUGAAGCCAAAAUGUACUUUAAAUUAUAGUGUUACAUUUAACGUUAGAUAGCAUUGUGUGCCUAGUUCAUAUUACUUAAAGUGGUGCAUAAUAUAAGACUACUAAAGAGAUACUUCGAUUUUAUUAUCUACCUAAUACAUAUCAGUGUGAAAUGAAUUUAUUAGGUAUCAAUUUAAAAUAUGUAAAAAACAUAGAAUAACGAGUAAAUGUUCUUAAAUAACAAUCGUGCCUUUGAAUGAACUAUAUUUUAUUAUGAACAUAUUAAUUCAUGUUACGUAAAUAAAUUGAACUCAAAUGUUAAACGUAGUCGUUGUUAUAGCAGAAGUUUUAUUGUAAAUAAAGUGGUAAUGCAAUGAUUGUAGGACGUAGUUAGUAAUAAGUACGUGUUACUAACAUAUUUAAUUUAGUUUAAGGACUAUUACUGUGGCUGUGGUCUAAUAGCGUAUAUAUGCUUAAAUUGUUUACUUACCUAAUUAAGAAAUCAUAGUCAUUCAUGUUCGAAUCGUAAAUCAUUUGAUCAUAAAAAAUUGUUGAUUUUUAUUCCUUUUAAAAUAGCUACCUUUUUGUACCUUAAAAUGCAGAUUAAAAUAAAGACAGUUUAUAUAUAUUUUUAGACAAAGAUUUUGUGUAGUUUUUCCUUUAGGUACAAAAGUACAAUAUAAUUUAUAUGUUGAGAAUUUGUUACUUUUUGAUAGUGACUAUGAUUUUUUUUUAUUUGUUUAAUAUGUUUGUCGAUGCCACAGUGCCAUAUCAUAGUGUAAAAUUAUUUAUGGAAUGAUCAGGAGCACGCUUGACUAUUGUCUUGCCGUUCAUCAUGACAACGUACAAAUUGUCGAUGGAAAAAUAAUAUGUCUCUUGUUUAACCGUUUUGUGAUGAUAGUGUGUAAACAAUCAUACAAUCUUCCUUGGCCCUUUUGAAAUACAUGAUAUUUGCCAAAUAAA